GUGAGGGUGUCUCUGGAAGAUACUUGAAUCACAGGACUGAAUAAGGAAGAGCUGCCCUCAGCGUGGCCGGGCAACAUCUAAUCGGCUGAAAGCUUGGAUCGAAUGAAAAGGCAGAGGAAAGGUGAAUUUUCUUUUUAUCCUGGAGCUGGACACCCUGUUUCUCCUGCCUGUGGACAUCAGAAUUCUAGGCUCUGUGGCAUUUCAACUGUAAAACUUGCACUAGUAGCCAGCUGGUUUCUCAAGUCGUUGGCUUCAAAACUGAGAAGUACAGCAUUCUCUUCCCAGGUUCUGAAGACCUCAAAUGGACUGAGCCACACUACCAGCAUCCAGCAUCCAUGGUUCUCCAGUCUGCAGAUGGCCUAUUAUGGGACUUUUCAGUCUUCAUAAUUAUAUGAGAGAAAGAAAAUGAAAAGGAUUUGUAAACUAUAAAUCUCUAAACAGAUGGGAGGAAAGGAAUUGAUGAAACAAUAAAUUUAUUGAUGAAACAAUAAAAAUAAACAUAAAGAACCAAAGAGAUUCUGAAGGAAGGAUUCUGAUCUGCUACAGUAAAUAGAGCAUGAAAAUCAG
rnacentral:lncRNA from 1 species